UGCUCCUACGGGGGGCAGCAGUGAGGAAUAUUGGUCAAUGGGCGAUAGCCUGAACCAGCCAAGUCGCGUGAGGGAAGACGGCCCUAUGGGUUGUAAACCUCUUUUGUCGGGGAGCAAGGUCGCUACGUGUAGCGAUUUGAGAGUACCCGAAGAAAAAGCAUCGGCUAACUCCGUGCCAGCAGCCGCGGUAAUACGGAGGAUGCGAGCGUUAUCCGGAUUUAUUGGGUUUAAAGGGUGCGUAGGCGGGAGAUCAAGUCAGCGGUAAAACUGCGGGGCCCAACCCCGUCGAGCCGUUGAAACUGGUU
rnacentral:rRNA from 1 species